GACGAACGCUGGCGGCGUGCUUAACCCAUGCAAGUCGAACGGUAAGGCCCUUCGGGUACACGAGUGGCGAACGGGUGAGUAACACGUGGGUGAUCUGCCCUGCACUUCGGGAUAAGCUUGGGAAACCGGGUCUAAUACCGGAUAGGACCACUGCCUGCAUGGGUGGUGGUGGAAAGCUUUUGCGGUGUGGGAUGGGCCCGCGGCCUAUCAGCUUGUUGGUGGGGUGAUGGCCUACCAAGGCGACGACGGGUAGCCGGCCUGAGAGGGUGACCGGCCACACUGGGACUGAGAUACGGCCCAGACUCCUACGGGAGGCAGCAGUGGGGAAUAUUGCACAAUGGGCGCAAGCCUGAUGCAGCGACGCCGCGUGAGGGAUGACGGCCUUCGGGUUGUAAACCGCUUUCAGCACCGACGAAGCGCAAGUGACGGUAGGUGCAGAAGAAGGACCGGCCAACUACGUGCCAGCCGCCGCAGUAA
rnacentral:rRNA from 1 species